CCGUGCAUCCACGUACAAACAAUGUGAACUGUUCCCAAUGGAAAUGAAUGUUAUGAAGGCUUGCUGAUGGCGGUUCAGGAUUUUUAUCUCGAACUGAGUCUUCAUAACGGCUUCGCGAAAGCGAUAGCGAGUCCAUUCCCAUUGAGUUACUCACCAUCGGUUGUGAAACCUUAUUAACCCUAUGUACCUUUUGAACUAAACUAUUCUUCGAUACCACGAAGCCCUGUUGGCUUAGCCACGGCUGAAGGGUUCGUAGAAAUUGAUACCAAAUUAAGAA
rnacentral:misc_RNA from 1 species